AGCGAACGCUGGCGGCAGGCCUAACACAUGCAAGUCGAACGAACCUUUCGGGGUUAGUGGCGGACGGGUGAGUAACACGUGGGAACGUGCCUUUAGGUUCGGAAUAACUCAGGGAAACUUGUGCUAAUACCGAAUGUGCCCUUCGGGGGAAAGAUUUAUCGCCUUUAGAGCGGCCCGCGUCUGAUUAGCUAGUUGGUUGAGGUAAUGGCUCACCAAGGCGACGAUCAGUAGCUGGUCUGAGAGGAUGAUCAGCCACAUUGGGACUGAGACACGGCCCAAACUCCUACGGGAGGCAGCAGUGGGGAAUCUUGCGCAAUGGGCGAAAGCCUGACGCAGCCAUGCCGCGUGAAUGAUGAAGGUCUUAGGAUUGUAAAAUUCUUUCACCGGGGACGAUAAUGACGGUACCCGGAGAAGAAGCCCCGGCUAACUGCGU
rnacentral:rRNA from 1 species